rnacentral:lncRNA from 1 species
UUUAAAUAAAAUUUUGCAUGUCUCAGUUUUUUAAUAAAUGUAUACAAAUAAUGUUCACAUUUUACAACAGCACUAUAAGCAAGUGGACAAAUUUUGGUAUAGUGAAGCGUUUUAGGAUCUGGUAUCGGUUCCUCAUCGGGAUAAGUCUCAUUAAGAAUGUUGCAAAGUUCUGUUCUUUUGUAUGCUGUUGUAUCUUUAAUGAGACUUGUACUGAUGAUGGACCAGUACCUGGUCCGAAAACGUUUUACUAUAUUAAAAUUUGUUUACUUGCUUAGUGUUGUUGUAAAGUAUGUUGCAAAUGUAUGUGGUCCAAUACAAUUCACAAUACAGUCGAUCCUCAACUUUCCUACGUAACUGGUUCCUGAAAUGGUAUACGAAAAUAGAGCAAUGUAAAAAAUACGUGGAAAUGUUUUUAAAAUAUUUAUUUUACAACAUACAACAUGAUAUAUGUCCUAAAUUGAGUGAACUUGUGAUGCCGGAAACUAAUGAUGGGAAAGGAGGGGAGAGUGACUAUAAGGAAAUAGGCAUAUUUUUUGGAUACAUAUCAAUAAAAAUUUAACUUUUAAAUAUGUAUGAAAUAGCAAAUUGUAC